GCCAGGCGCGCGCGUAACGGGCGCCGCUAGAGCGCGCACAGUGGGGCACGCCGCUGUGUAGUGCGGUCCAUCUCAGAGUACCUUUGCCCAACUUCGAUAUGAACGGGCCACAGAACCAUGUGUUUGUUGAAAAUAGAAAAAAAAAAUUAGAGUACCUAUGGAGCUAAUUGCUAGGAUGGAGAUACCUAUUACAUGAUUUAACACUCUUUGUUUCAUGUAAUCUUCGAAUUAUCCUAGCAUCUUUACACUAAAUAUGUGUUGACUAACUCUUAAAAUGUUUUAGUGCCACAAACUUUGGAUGUUUUUGUCUUCUUUGUGAUACUAGUCAUAACUGAUAUGUUUUUUCCUUCUCCAUUUACAUAUUGGAUUUGCCAUUUUGUGAGAGUGUACACACAUCUAAUUUUGUAUGAUUUAAUUGUUUGCUUUAAAAAAAUUAGCUUAUUGGGGUGUUACCGUGCAUUGGUAGCGUGGGAACCGGUCAUAUACACUCUAGCGAGUACCACAACAGUACAACAUGUAUUCCGCUGAAAAGUGAUGCAGCUAUAUAUAGACAUAAUUUGUACACAUAUAUUUUUGGGCUCAAGAUUGCAAAAUGUCAUGAUGCCGGACAGAGAUAUCCAGAAAGUACUUCAAGUAUUGCAUUCUAUGGUCGGUAGGUAUUAAUUCCUACUCCCUCGAUUCCAAUGAAUAAGGCGUAUAAAUUUAAUCAAAGGACAACACCCUCUAUGGUUGACCAAUAUUAUAUAGAUAAAAAUAUGAACAUUUCCGGUAUCAAAUCUUUAUCAAUAGAUUCACCAUAAAAUAUACUUUCAUAAUGGAUCUACUUAAUGGAAUGGAUGUUGAUAUUUUCUUUUAUAUAUUUGAUUAAACUUAGUAUGUUUUCACUUUUGACUAAAUUUACACAUUUUAUUCAUUAAAAUGGAGGUAGUAUAAUUUGGCAAGCAUAUACUAACAAAGGAAUUUAAUCACCUAGGUGUUAUCACCAAAUAACAUUUCUCAUUAAUGCCAAGAUAAGGCUACCAUCCCUUAUCCAGCUCAACGAUAAUAAACAAUAAUUAAUUCUUGCCAAACUAGCAGAUUGCUAGUCACAAAUUUCAUUGGUACCACCUUUUGCCAAUCCUUUAUAAAUGCAUGUCCAUGUGAACAAGAAACCCUCGCAGCCUUGCUUCUCUAUAUCUCAAAACAGCAAACACCAUCAUGGCUUUCAAGAUUGCCACCAUUGCUGCAUCCAUCUUGAUGCUAGCACUCUUGGUGCCUUCCAGUGCGGUUGAACUCAUAUGCAAGGAGCACAGAGCUAGGUGGCCAAACUGUGAUUCUGUUGACGCUUGCAUUAAAAGGUGCAAAGUUGGAGGUUACAAGGACGGAUAUUGUUCAACAGUGCUUCCGUCAGCCUGUUGUUGCACGCUUGCGACUAAACCGCCCGCAGCAAGAAUCAUAGGUCCAAUGUAUAAUGAGGGUUCGGGUGCUAACUAGAUAUUAAUAAGAAUGCAUACCUCUUGUUGGCUCAGUUGUGAAAAAUUGUGGAGAAUGAACUAUGCAACGGGUAUCCUGACACGCAAA